CACGUAGGCACCAAGCGUUGUCCGGAUUUAUUGGGCGUAAAGAGCUCGUAGGCGGUUCAGUAAGUCGGGUGUGAAAACUCUGGCUCAACCCAGAGACGCCACCCGAUACUGCUGUGACUUGAGUACGGUAGGGGAGUGGGGAAUUCCUGGUGUAGCGGUGAAAUGCGCAGAUAUCAGGAGGAAUACCGGUGGCGAAAGCGACUCUCUGGACGGUUACUGACGCUGAGGCACGAAAGCGUGGGGAUCAAACAGG
rnacentral:rRNA from 1 species